GUGUCAGCAGCCGCGGUAACACCAGCGCCACGAGUGGCUAUCACGAUUAUUGGGCCUAAAGCGUCCGUAGUCGGCUCUGUGCAUCUUCUGUGAAAUCGUUGCGCUUAACGUAACGGCAUGCGGAAGACACGGCAGAGCUUGAGACCGGGAGGCGUGAAGGGUAUUCUUAGGGGACCGGUAAAAUGGUAUAAUCCUAAGAGGACCACCUGUGGCGAAGGCGCUUCACGAGAACGGAUCUGACGAUGAGGGACGAAAGCCAGGGGAGCAAACCGGAUUAGAUACCCUUGUAGUCC
rnacentral:rRNA from 1 species